GAAAGGGAUGAGGCUAAAUAAUUUACUUAGGCAGGAUUUUACUGGCAAAAAUCAGUCUUUUAUUUCAAACAACUUCCUGAACAAAACAGCUGUUUCUUCCUAAGCCUUGGUGGCUGAGUUAAGCAGCAUUUGCCUGAAUGUUAAUCCUUAGAUUAUGCAUUUUUUAAUCAAUUUGGCCGUAAUUAGGUUGAGCUUACAAAUUGUUAUUCCAGGAAUAAUGAUUGUCUUUAAGAGGCAGAAAGGAAAGCAUCAGCAUCAUUCUUUGCCAUCACAUCUCCCUGCAAGAACGUUCACUCACUGCCUAGGAUGGGUGGCAGGGCUCAGAUUUCAUUCCUAUAGGUAAAGGGACCAUAACACUGAUAUCAGCUGCAUCCUGCUAGCAUAAUACUGGUGCUUGAAAGAUUAAUGAACACAAUGAUUUUCUUAGAACCCAUGGAUGAAUACCAUCUGGUCCUGGUGAUUUACUGCACAGAGUCCCUCAAGGUGCUCCAUACCUUUAUCCUCAGAGACUGAAGAAUCUCUGUCAAGGCCAUUCUCUGCUUUGCCAUAAAAUGUGUCCUUGGAACAGGAAUUUCCCCAUUGUCUUCUCCAAUAAAUACUGAUUCAAAAUAUUCAUUUAGCUGCUCCUCUCCUUCAUCAUUCCAUUUAAGAUCCUCCUUCUCCUAAUGAAACCUCUUAACAUAACAGAUAUAGUCACCUUAUAAAAUGCCAUGGACUCUUUAUUACUAUUAUUAUUUAUCUUGAUGUUUCUGUGUGUUUUGCCCAUUCGAUCUUUA
ensembl:lncRNA